UACGGAGGGUGCGAGCGUUGUCCGGAAUCAUUGGGCGUAAAGGGCGCGUAGGUGGCGGGACAAGCGUGCGGUGAAAGCCUGGGGCUCAACCCCGGGUCGGCCGUGCGAACUGUUUUGCUUGAGCACUGUAGAGGCAGGCGGAAUUCCGGGUGUAGCGGUGGAAUGCGUAGAGAUCCGGAAGAACACCGGUGGCGAAGGCGGCCUGCUGGCGCUGACCUGACGCUGAGGCGCGAAGGCGUGGGGAGCGAACGGGG
rnacentral:rRNA from 1 species